UCCCUGGUGGUCCAGUAGUCAGGACUCCUCACUCCCAAUGCAGGAGGCCCAGGUUCGAUCCCUGGUUAGGGAA